ACCCCCCGGCAAUGGACAAAGGCACCUUGUUGGUGGUGGUGGUGGUGUUCUAUCAGUCAGGGGCAGGGCAGGUGGCCGUCCUUUGUUCAUCCCAGCUUGGUGCCUGGCUUGGUGGCCAAAGCUGUCUAAUGCCUAGGACUCAUAA